UCCAGGGUAGCCUAGUGGACAUGGCAUCUGCCCGGUAAGCAGAACACUGUGGUCUCGAUUUCCCAUCUCUGGAC